GCAUGGGCUCGUCGCUGGUGAAUGAUAUGCAGAUUCCCCUCUUAUCAAUAUAAUGAUGUCAGGAUUUCCAGGAUAAAUUCCAUGAGAGGUAGCAACAUUUAUUUCUCUAAUAUAGCCAAAUUACAUUUUAUACUAGAAUAAGGAGAUGAGGAAUCACAUGGAUAAAUUUCGGAGGGGGAGGUGGGGACACAGAGGAUAAAGGAGAUAGCCUGGGGUCGUCGCUGGUGAAUGAUAUGUAGAUUCCCCUCUUAUCAAUAUAAUUAUGUCAGGAUUUCCAGGGUAAAUUCCAUGAGAGGUAGCAACAUUUAUUUCUCUAAUAUAGCCAAAUUACAUUUUAUACUAGAAUAAGGAGAUGAGGAAUCACAUGGAUAAAUUUCGGAGGGGGAGGUGGGGACACAGAGGAUAAAGGAGAUAGCCUGGGGUCGUCGCUGGUGAAUGAUAUGUAGAUUCCCCUCUUAUCAAUAUAAUUAUGUCAGGAAUAGCCUUGUGGAGAUAAUGUGGAAAAUCCAGUCUUCUGUUUUAGUAGAUAUAUUUUUGUGCUAUACUGCAAAGAAGCAUGCUUUGGUUUGUUUAAGUUUUGCUUUCAUUGUUCGUCAUCUCGUUUGUCUAUU
rnacentral:lncRNA from 1 species